UACAGGGGGUGCAAGCGUUAAUCGGAAUUACUGGGCGUAAAGCGUGCGCAGGCGGUUUGUAAGUCAGAUGUGAAAUCCCGGGCUUAACCUGGGAACUGCAUCUGUGACUGCAUCGCUGGAGUACGGUAGAGGGGAUGGAAUUCCGCGUGUAGCAGUGAAAUGCGUAGAUAUGCGGAGGAACACCGAUGGCGAAGGCAAUCCCCUGGACCUGUACUGACGCUCAUGCACGAAAGCGUGGGAGCAACAGG
rnacentral:rRNA from 1 species